rnacentral:rRNA from 1 species
AACGCUAGCUACAGGCUUAACACAUGCAAGUCGAGGGGCAGCAUGAACUUAGCUUGCUAAGUUUGAUGGCGACCGGCGCACGGGUGAGUAACGCGUAUCCAACCUUCCGUACACUCAGGAAUAGCCUUUCGAAAGAAAGAUUAAUACCUGAUGGUAUGAUGAGAUUGCAUGAAAUCAUCAUUAAAGAUUCAUCGGUGUACGAUGGGGAUGCGUUCCAUUAGAUAGUAGGCGGGGUAACGGCUCACCUAGUCGACGAUGGAUAGGGGUUCUGAGAGGAAGGUCCCCCACAUUGGAACUGAGACACGGUCCAAACUCCUACGGGAGGCAGCAGUGAGGAAUAUUGGUCAAUGGGCGCGAGCCUGAACCAGCCAAGUAGCGUGAAGGAUGAAGGUCCUACGGAUUGUAAACUUCUUUUAUAAGGGAAUAAAGUCACCUACGUGUAGGUGUUUGUAUGUACCUUAUGAAUAAGCAUCGGCUAACUCCGUGCCAGCAGCCGCGGUAAUACGAAGGAUGCGAGCGUUAUCCGGAUUUAUUGGGUUUAAAGGGAGCGUAGACGGGUCGUUAAGUCAGCUGUGAAAGUUUGAGGCUCAACCUUAAAAUUGCAGUUGAUACUGGCGUCCUUGAGUACGGUUGAGGCAGGCGGAAUUCGUGGUGUAGCGGUGAAAUGCUUAGAUAUCACGAAGAACUCCGAUUG